CCUACGGGUGGCAGCAGUGAGGAAUAUUGGUCAAUGGACGAGAGUCUGAACCAGCCAAGUAGCGUGAAGGAUGACUGCCCUAUGGGUUGUAAACUUCUUUUAUAUGGGAAUAAAAUGUUCCACGUGUGGGAUUUUGUAUGUACCAUAUGAAUAAGGAUCGGCUAACUCCGUGCCAGCAGCCGCGGUAAUACGGAGGAUCCGAGCGUUAUCCGGAUUUAUUGGGUUUAAAGGGAGCGUGGGUGGAUUGUUAAGUCAGUUGUGAAAGUUUGCGGCUCAACCGUAAGAUUGCAGUUGAAACUGGCAGUCUUGAGUAAGGUAGAGGUGAGCGGAAUUCGUGGUGUAGCGGUGAAAUGCUUAGAUAUCACGAAGAACUCCGAUUGCGAAGGCAGUUCACUGGACUGAAACUGACACUGAGGCUCGAAAGUGUGGGUAUCAAACAGGAUUAGAUACCCCUGUAGUC
rnacentral:rRNA from 1 species